AUUGAGCGCUGGCGGAAUGCUUUACACAUGCAAGUCGAACGGCAGCACGGACUUCGGUCUGGUGGCGAGUGGCGAACGGGUGAGUAAUGUAUCGGAACGUGCCCAGUCGGGGGGGAUAACGUAGUGAAAAUUACGCUAAUACCGCAUACGAUCUAUGGAUGAAAGCGGGGGACCGCAAGACCUCGCGCGAUUCGAGCGGCCGAUAUCAGAUUAGGUAGUUGGUGGGGUAAAGGCCCACCAAGCCAACGAUCUGUAGCUGGUCUGAGAGGACGACCAGCCACACUGGAACUGAGACACGGUCUAGACUCCUACGGGAGGCAGCAGUGGGGAAUUUUGGACAAUGGGCGAAAGCCUGAUCCAGCCAUUCCGCGUGCAGGAUGAAGGCCCUCGGGUUGCAAACUGCUUUUGUACAGAACGAAAAGGUUUCUACUAAUACUAGGAGCUCAUGACGGUACUGUAAGAAUAAGCACCGGCUAACUACGUGCCAGCCGCCGCAGUAA
rnacentral:rRNA from 1 species